UACGGAGGGGGCUAGCGUUGUCCGGAUUUAUUGGGCGUAAAGAGCGUGUAGGCGGCCAUGUAGGUCCGGUGUGAAAACUCGAGGCUUAACCUCGAGAUGUCAUCGGAAACCAUUUGGCUAGAGUCCGGAAGAGGAGAGUGGAAUUCCUGGUGUAGCGGUGAAAUGCGCAGAUAUCAGGAAGAACACCAAUGGCGAAAGCAGCUCUCUGGGACGGUACUGACGCUGAGACGCGAAAGCGUGGGGAGCGAACAGG
rnacentral:rRNA from 1 species